ACUGUAAAUUUUCAAAAAUCAACUACAGAAUUCUCUUUUACCUGUCACUGGUACACACUGAGUUUUCCUACCUGUUCAUUGGUAGUCCUGCCUCUGGCCACAAGCACAAUGUGGAAACCAGUGAGGCCAGCAACAGGGAUGAAGAACAGGCCUGCGACACACAUUACAGCCAGCCUGACAGCACAGGUCAAGGAGAAUCUUAAGAGACCAGAUUCAAGAGAUACAUGGAAAAUGUACUUAGCACAAAAAACUCAAUGUGCUAUCAAAGGGAGUGAAAUCCUCCCACGCGAUACUGAAAAUAAUCCUCAGGAAAUCUGAUACCAGGUCCAUAAAGGAUACGUGACGAUGGCGUGCAGGCGGUCGAUGUUCUGGCGAUGGUAGAGGAUAAAGAGCAGGCCAAAGCCAAACACAGCCAUGAUGUGAGCUGUCAGGGACAGGAGGAAGAGGAAGAAGUAGCGGUAGUUCCUCCUGCCGAUGCAGUUGUUCACCCACGGACAGUGGUGGUCGAAGUCCUACGUAAUGAGAGUUAAAAGACACUGUGCCGGUGAAUGGUCUGCGAUGAUCAGCUACCAAGCUCUGAGGCUUAUCGCUACUUCCAUAGUAAUGAGGCUUUGUGAACGGAGUUGUCACAGACGGAGCAAUGGGAGCACCGCGGUGGCCGGUAAAAGCGGUAGGUUGAACACCACUUCAUCCUGACCUGGAUCCCUCUGAUCUCCACGGUCUUGUAGAGGGGAGCACGGAAGUCAUCCUCUUUGUCCUCGUCCUCCUCGGCUGCAGAGAUGGGAGCAGA